rnacentral:lncRNA from 1 species
UGCUCGCGUCAAACGCAGAGCCCUUCUCUGUGUAGUACUGCCCUCUACUGGAUACACACUGAACUACAGUGACGUCUACUGACUGUGAUCCAAACUUUGUUUCUCUAUCUGUUUUAUCAUAUUUUGCAAUCAGACAUACAAAAGUUUGAGAUCAAAUGUCUUUUUUUGUAACGCAUCAUAGAUGAACAUGCCUGCACUCAUUCAUAUUCUGCAGUCAUUUUCUCCUCUGUCUUCUGAGUCACUGCUUGUCCUGCUGCCUUGCUCUUUCUCCAUUUGACAGCGACACCUCUUGAUGACAGUCCUGACAUCUGCCGUGUGCGCCUUGCUGUGGAUCUAGAUGAGUUUCCAUCAAGCCAUCAGGGUCAGUACGAGCCUGCCGUCCACAGAGUGUCAUUUGUUUGAUGGAGUAGACGGGCCCACAAAAACAAACCCAUCAACAAAGGUGUGCAUCUCAGCCUCUCAUUUUAAUCCCACUUCUCUUUGAUGAUGCAUUUCUUUCAAGUUAAUUCAUCAGGAUUUGAUCUAAUUGACUAACGCACUCAGCCGCCGGCUGCCGCUAAAGCAUCUCCACUUAACAAGAGCCCUUAGACGCAGAAUUAGGCCAUUAAAACGGACAGGGUCUUCAUUUGUCCAUUCAGAAAGCUCUGUAAGUUUCACAGUUGAUGGAGUGUGUAUGGGGGCUGGCUGGAUAAUGAAUGUGAGGGGAAAGCAGUGUAGAGAGUGUAGAGAAUCAGCUGCCAGUGGGACGCCUCCUCGCUCUAUAGAAAUCAUGACUUACUCACACAUUCCAGUCUCUCGAUGACUGAGUGCUCCCCCCGACAUAUGGUCCUGUAGGGAAACAGUGUGACAUCAGCCCUCUUGCCAAUCAACUGUCUUUUAAUUUCUCCUUUCUGGCUCUUUUCUUCUCCUCAACCAUCACCUCUUAAGCUCCACUUAGCUCAGAACUGGCUCAUCAAAGGCCUUUUUCUCUUUUUUCUCAUUUUCACUCUGCGUGGUGGAACACUUUUUUGUCUUUUAAUUGCCUCUGCAUCACGCCAGCUCUUACGGGGCCUGUUGUUUUUACCCUCUCUAUUGUAAUUUGCCCAUCUCUCUCCCUCGUGCAUGUCCACUGCUUAUUUAGGGCCUAAUUGAGGCACUUUGGUAAUUGAAGAGGAAGUUCUUAAGAGCAGAGGGAGAGUGUCUGGGAGUUGAGAUUACCUGUAAUUAACGUACAUGAUGGCUUUGAUGGCUCUUGCCCCUCCUGGUGAGACGUCGCCUUCAGUCUCUGACGACAGCCACGGCUUCACAUAGGCUCGAAAAGGCCUUUUUGCCUGUACUUCAGCACUGCGAAUACUGCAUGCCUGACAGGCAAAGCCAUUGGGAAAAAACGCUCACAUCCUGUACCACACACCCUCAGUGCAGCUGAUGAUGGCUCUCAUCAAAGAUAAUGAAAUAACAAAUUAAAAGGAAGACUUGCAAUGAAAUAGAUAACCACAUUAUCAACCAGACACCUGGUGACUUUGCCCUCAAAUACUUCAGUAUUUUCUGUUUCAAAAGGCCAAGUUAUUAGUGUUCUAUUUAGUUUUCAAGUUUUGAUCCAAUUGAUCAUCCUCUGGUGAAUUUUGAAGAAGAGGAAGACUCACUUUUGCGUCAAGUUUGUGUUUGCUUCAAACUGCGGCAUCUGCAGAGUUAAACAAAGGUAGCAGACGUCAUAUAUUCCCAUUGUUCAGUGGCAUUUUUCUCUGACUCAGAAACAGUGCACAUGGUCCACCAUAGUACAAACUAGUGGGCAGUGAUCAAAAGGAAACAGAGGUGAAUGCAUGUCUCAGAGGGUAUUAAACACAGGAGGACAAAGACACAUUUGAAAUGUCAUUACAGUUCAAAGGAAACUCCAUGCUGGGAUUCUGAUGCAUUCCAAAUAUUCUGCACUUCAGUCCUUUCACCGCUGUGUGAGCCAGAGAUUGUGGACUUGAUGCACAUGGCUCGACUUGAGUCAGACUCAAGCUGCAAAUUCAGUCUUGAGACUUGCCCAGUCUGCAGAAUAUAAAGUAUUUCAGAUUUAACUAACGUCAAAUAAAUCAACAUCAGCUUUGUAUAUGAGUUAGAAACAUGAGCAGAUUAGCUGAAAAGGAGCAAUAGAAAUUACAUAAAAACUAAUAGAGAAUGCAAAGAUAACGACAGACAUCAUACAUUACUGUUCACGUGGUUGUGAUUAAAUGUGUCAAAUACCAGUAAGUCAAACUGCACAUAAAGUAAAAGUAGUUUUGCACUUGAUGUAAUACACUUAAUGUAAUAGACAAAGUUAAAGAUAAAAAGACACAGUAAUAAAAAAACACUUUUAACAUGAUGUGGAUUAAAAUAUUGCACAUUAGAGAAAAAAAUUGUGUUGCACAAGGUAAUAAAUGUGUCUCAAAUUAUUUUGUAAAAACCCCCCCAAAAAAAAAUAGUUUUGUGCAUUUUGUGCAUGAAAAUAAAAAGUUAUUUUACACCAAAAAUUAUAUUCCAAUGCCGCAUUACACCUUAAAUAAUUAAAAAUGUCUAUGAUAUUGAGCAAAUAAUAGCCCGAUAUUGGAAAGUAAUGCUUCACAUGAUAAAAUAUAUGACUGUGAAUAAGCAAUCCUGCACAUAUUAUGGAUAGUGAUUGUACACGAUAGUGAAAGGGAUAUGAUAGCAGUAAUGGAAAGUGAUAAUCCACAAGAAUAUAGUGAGUAAUAUUGUACAUGAUCAUGAACAAUGAGACAAAACUGCAGUAAGAAAGAACCUGAUCUGGAAAGUAUGAACAGGAUGAAUGAUGGACAAAAUUAUACAAAAAUACUAAGAAGCAAUAUUUUACAUGACAAAAAAAUUCCAAUGCACACGAUUAAAAAAAAGAGUAUAUGAGACGAUACUUAAAUGUAACAUUGCACAUAAUGGUGAGCACAAUGUAAGAUGAUACUUUAAUUGCAUAUCUGAUCUCAUGUUUGCCACCAGUAACUAAAUCCAUAUUUGCAAACAAAUUAAAAAAUGGACUGUCUUUUACAACAGCUCUAUUGCCUUCUGUCUACUCGUGCACUUUACACUACAUGCCACUCACAUGUUGGUGCACUAAUUAAGAUCCAUGCAAGGCUACUGUACAAUUAAUUAUUCACACACACACUCACUAACACACUGCAGGCUAUUCCUUCAAGAGCCAGGGUGCCGAAUCUAGACCAAAGGAGGUGGAGAUCAAACCCACAACCUCCCAACUAGAUAGAGGGUGGUCCAUUUUACCACUGAGUCAGAGCCACCAAAUAGAAACUUUUAUUGAAACCAGAAGAGACAAAAAGUAAUAAACUGGCCCUGACCUUAACCCUUAAUGGAAGAGAGGGGCCAUUAUGACCAGUAACCCCCCCAUACCACCAGAGCUGUGUCCCUGAACAGGAAACCCAAUCAGAGUAAAUACAGGGUAAAUGUCUCCUCACUAAGCUCUUCAUUAUCAUCCUUUCUAGGCAUUGUUUAGAGUUUGUGUCUUCAGCCUCAAGCAAUUGAAGCAAACAAAUAGACGCCUCAAGAGGAGCUCAUUGAUUCUCAAAGGAAAAGUUGUAUUACUUUAUCUGGCUGAUAGUCUGUAUAGUAGUGACUAAACAUUUUAUCUGCAGGUAUAAGAAACAGUCUAAAUGAAGGCUCCUUUCCCUCAUGUGAAUAUGGAUCAAGUGUUUCCGUAAAUCUAGUCAGAUUGCCCUGUCCGCUCCCCGUUUUAGCCCCUCGUCGUGAAUCUUUCCCUCCUUUCCACACAUUCUUCGCCUCAUAAAUAAGGUGGCGGCAGUGCAAAUUAGCCGCCUGUAUCUCAUGUCAACAUCCACCCCAGGUCCGGGGCCCGAUCCUGUCCCCAUGUUUUGAAACAGAUGGCUACUACUACAAUAAAAAAGUAGCAAAUUAUUUUAGCAGCAGGCGGCAAAAGCAAUUAACAACUGGCAUAAUGUGUUGAUUAAAAUCCAUUCCAGUCUCAAUGAAGGGGGAAAAAACUCUCAUUUUCCACUCAGUCAGUUGGCGUACAUCCACCACUCAAAGUACGCUGACCUUGACUCGACCACAGCUGUCGUUAACCUCUAACCAGUGCACGGUGUUGUUGCCUCAUUCACUUUUAAUGGAAGUGUGGAAUGUGGUGUGAAUAUGCAGGAAGGAAGGGCCCCUUAUUUUUGAGUGGGGGUUUUUUGUACCAUGAACAACUGAAAAUUAUUUUCUUGGUUACUUCAACCAAAAACUGAUGAAAAUAUUGCACAAUUCGUGACAUCUAGUGUAUGUGGUUGACUUCAAACUGUUUGCAGAAUUGCCCCAAUAAUUCAGUUGGUAAUAUCUUUGAAAUACUUGAAUGUUUGAUCAAUUACCUUGUCCUUUAAAGGCAGAUAUUCACUAAAAAGCUGAAAAUGUUACAAGUAUUUAAGAGUAAAGGAAAGUCUUGGUAUAAUCAGCAAGGACAAGGUAGAAAGAAGACUCUAACUAAGAAUUUUUUUGUGAAUGCCUCUGCCUUAAUGCUCAAAAAAACUUUCAUCAUGAAGCAUUGAGUCGUUAAAAACUGGAUUUAUUAUUGAACAUUUUCUGGCAUUUAAACAAACGAAAUUACAUGCAAAUUUUGGGGAAACCAAAACACGCUUGUUUAGCAAAGCGUGAAUGUAUUUUUUGUACCCUUGUCUUGGAAUUAACUAUCAUGCAUCUGUUUUAUUGAGUUAUACUGUGUGUGUUGGACCCCAGGAAGAAAAGCUGAUGUUUAUGUUGGUGCUAAUGGGGACCCUAAUCAAAAAAGAGAGUAGGAAGAGAAGUGAUUCAGUCUGCCAACAUAGACAUUCAUCUCAUUUUAUCUACAAAGCUAUUCUGCGAAAAAUAAAACUCAAACUUUUCUUCUUCCUUGAAAGUUUUGAGAUCACAGCAUUCUUUAUUAAACUUUUGUUGCCCUAAAUUGUCGGAGCUGAAUUCAGAAGCAAAAUGAAAAAUCCACAGAGUGAUCCUAAAACUGACCAUUUCUCAAUCUGUGCUGAAAUCUGUGAAGCCUAUUUGACAUUUAACUGACUUUUAAAUGUGUCUACAACUUGCUGUUUUUUUACUGAAGCUACAACCUGCCACUAUUUUCUUUGACAAGUUUUACCAAUCAAAAUAAUCUCUAAACCAUGACUAGAUAAACUUUAGGAUUUAGAGGUGACAUAUUUUCCAUGUUUCGAGAGCUGGUGGGAUUAAACUGGUACGGUUUUACAGAGAAGUUGCACCAGUCUACACUUUUUUAUUGUCAGGUUUCACCAGUUUCUUCGUGCAUCUAAAACAGCUACUUUUCCCCCUGAUUACCUGCCUGUUACAUGCUUGAAAAGUAUCUCUCAGGUUUUAACUCACACUUUGGCUCCUUUUGUAAAUGCUCUGAAUGCAGAAAGUCAUUUUCAGGCCUUUACCUCAUGCUCCUCAUCAACAGCAGUCAAUUGCCUCCCCGUCGAACACGGAGCAGCGAGUGAGAGGCUGCACUUUGUCUUUGAGCCAGAAAAUCUCAUUUUCACUAAACACCUAAUCAGUCCCAUUCAUCCAGCUAUAGUUCCCCAGUUCCCCCAGUUCUACACCUGGCUUUGGCGUCUUUAAUUACUGGGAGACGGGCCUUUGUCUGAUCCGGAGCCAAGAUUGGAAUAUGAGUGGCAAAUUCGGAAGGAAAUCAUACAGGCUCAAACCAAUUCAAUUACCCACCAAUCAAAGUAGAAAGGCCUGUAAUUGCAGUGAAAGGGUAACAAUGAGAGGCUCUGCUUCAGUCCGAGCACUGAGGGUGUUAUUAGGAAAGAAUAAUACGUGCCUGCAGGGGGUGCUAUGCUCAAACUAUUAAACCUCACUGCAGCGAGCAAUCUUACAGAUCACUGGGAGAGCAUUUUUUAAUGUGACUAUAGCCCUCGGUGAGACAUUACCUUAUAAUUUCCUGUUUUUAACUCUGCUAUUAUGUCAAAUUGUGCAUGAAUAUGGUGUUUGCGAGCGAGGAAGCAGAAAAUGGGUAUGACAUUAUGAAGAAGCAAAGCAUGCACGCUGCAGUGUGGAUUAGGAAACACAAUUGUACUGUGCAAAGGAUAACAGAGGAGUUUAGAGAAGAAUGGACAAUGAUGGUCAAGUUCUGGCUUGGUUACAUAUCAGGUGGUGCAAACUGAUUGGGAGAGAAUCGAUGAUGAAAACUGAGAGAAUCUAAUUAUUCAUUUUAUUGAUUUUUUCAAGCAAAAACAUCUGAAAUUAGUUUGUUCCAGCAUCUUAAGUGUGAAAAUUUGUACUUUUUUCCAGACAUUUUUGUAUGAUUUGUGUUUCUUUGUAUUUGAAAAAAGAAAGCAAUUUAAGGACAGCAAUUUGCACUCAUGGGAAAUUGAGAUAACAAUUGAUUCAUAAAAAACUGUUGCUUUCCUGUUUCCACAUAAAUUCCUUCAUUAGAGAAAUCCUGAUUACACUAGUUUCUUCACACAACAGCUGCAUUUACUCCGAUUUUUAGCACUUCAGUGAGAAAAAGGUGGCAAACAGUGGAUUCUGCUGAGAUGUAAGUGAUGUGAAAGUAAGUCAGUGGGCAUAUUACCUUUUCUAAUGCACUUUAUGACCACUUUUCAACCAGUAUUAACAAAUAAAAUCACUUAAGGAAACAGUUUCUUCUAAUAGUCCUUAUAUAAGGGCAUUUUUAGAGCUCUAUAUUUGACCUUGCAUAUCUCUAAAGUAAACAAAUAAAGAGAAACUAUCAUGAGAUGGUACAGAGGGUCAAACUGAAGACAAGUCAGUCUUAGUCUUUGUGUGCUCCAACAUUCACACAAAAGAACAACAUGCCUCCUCCUAAGCUUUACAAGCAUUCAUACAUCAUUUCUUUUUUCCGCUGAGAUCAAACACCGCCUUUAAUUUUCACCCUGCACCUGCCUCCUUCCCCCUCCUCUUCAGCACUAAAUUGUGAAUGAUUUUAAUAUCUGUAUUUGUCCUCUCACUGUGUCAUUCUCAUCCUCAGACCAGAAGCUCUUUCAAAGUCCAGACAAAGAUCUGGAAAGGCGGAGGAGACAGAGGCAGAGAGAUGCAAAAGUUUGCUGCCGACUGACAGAAACCCCGCCUGGCUGCAGAAUGGGAUAGUUUGGGACAACUCAGGUACAAACUGACAACUUCAAUUUUACCUUUCCUUUGUUUGUCUCCUUUUGUUCCUCUUUGUUUGGCUGCAUUUGAAGAUUGCCAAUCAGGAUAUCAAACGAGGACGCUGUCGUCGUAUAGUUUGUUUUUCCAAAUGUGACCUUUUUGCCGCUCUGCAGUCGUACUUCAUUUUUCAGAUUCCUAAAAUUCAAACUCAUGCAUCCACACACACACACAAGCACACGCACAUGCACGCAAACAAACAAAAUCAAACGACAUCAAACAGAAUCAAAGUGAGAAUCGGUGUCCUUCAUGGAUCGUGUGAUGUUACAGAUUAUUUUCUGCUCAGCUUGGCACAGCUCUGAUUUUUUAAGACAGUGUAGAUCUGAUUGGAAAAUACGAUUUUAAUAUUUGGCAUGACAACUUCACAGCAAUUAAUUUCACACCAGGGAUGAGACUCGUCAGGAUCACCUGAGUGUCUGAUCAGAAGAUUAUUGGGGGAAUCUGUUUUGAUCAGGUUUCCAGCACCCAAGAAAACCCUCUCAUCACACGUCAUGUGCUACAUGUAAUUCACAGUCUUUUUAGUUUAAUAUUAAGCAGUUACACAGACUCUAAUUCAAGCAUUAGAGAGUAAAUAAGUGCACUUUUAAAUAGUUUUUUUAAGAUGGGACUGAUCAGAGAGGACUAAGUCUUUAUCCUGACACAAACAGAUCUAUCUAUUAUCACUGAUUUUGUUUAGUUUUAAUCACUGAUGUUUAUUAAAGAAAAUAGCAGUUUUCAAGUAACCAGUGCCCUGGGUUUGGUUGUAAACUGAGUACAUACUGUAUAUAUAGUCUAAAUGACUCACCCUAGGACAGUGGUAAGCAGUAAUAAAGGCCGAGGGAUGCAGACUCACUGGAGCGCAGACACAGAUUUUUAUUGCAGCUGUCUCGGGGUGGGAGGGGGAGGCAGUGUGAAAUCCAAAAAAGAAAUACACAGAAAUGUUGCUUCUUUCCAGCGUUUCUUAAUCUUUUUUUUUCAAGUCCUAAACUUCUAAAUGGAUUUAAGAAGAAAAGCUGUUAGUGCUGCAGCUUCAUGGAGCAGACAGAUAUGACUCUGCAUUUAAAUUUUUGUCAUCAGAAGUGAAACAUAAUUGUGAUGAUCAGAAUCAGCUUUAUUGGCCGAGUUUGUGUACAUAUACAAGGAAUUUGACUCUGGUAAACUUUGCCCUCUAUGUACAAACAUUCAACAUUAUAAAAACUGUUGGAAAAUUACUAUUAAUACAAUGCAGAUAAAAUUAAAACCACCUAGUUGCAGAGGAAUCACUCAGAAAGAGAACAGCGUUUUAAAAAAUGAGCCCAAAGCAUGUUCAGUCAAAAACACAAAACAUUGAACUGAAAGGUAUUUAUGAUCUUUCUGGUAGAGUAACACUGGCCGUGCUCAUCUUAGAUGAUCGUUGUUCCAUCGACACUGCGGACACAGUCACUGCGAACAGUUCUGGGGUCAGAUGACUUUAUUAAGGCUGCAUUAGUGCGUGAGACCAUAUGAGUUUGAACCCUCAACCUUCUGUCUGAAAUACGGUCAUCUCAACCACUGAGCUACAAUCACUCGCUCAAAUAGUGUUGGCCGAAUUCAGUUAGCUUGCCAAUCUAAUAAUAUCUAAAAAUACUUUUAGCUAACUAGCUAACAGUAGUUAAAAUUACCACUAGUUAGCAGUACGAUAGUAAAAAACAUGUGUUAAACAUGUGAAACACUUCAGCUUUUGUGAUGAUUUAUAGUUGUUUAUUAAUCAAAUAGAAGCAAAUGCAUGGUCAGUAUAUUUCUGAAGAUACAGAAAGUAAUAUUUAGUGGCAUUAAGAACAGAAAUAAUUACAUUUUCACCAUGUUCCAAUUAGUUUAAAAUCGUUUGAAUACAAAAAUAGUUCUUCUUAAGUCAUGUUAUCAAAAGUGGAGGAUCACCAUCCACAGACGCUGCUAUAUUUACCAUCGUGUUUCCUCAGUAGCACAGAAUGGACAAGCUGGUUAUGGCCAUAUUCAUGAAGGUAAUAGUGGGGGUAGAAGUGGGACAAACACCAAAGACCUCAUGGGACCACAUGGGUGUGGUUGUUCUAACUACCACUCAACAGAGAGCUGGUUCAAGGUUUGAGACCCAGCAGCUAUGAUGUGGAGGUGAAAGCAGCUGUCUUUGGUUGCUGAGAUUCUGGGUUCAAAUCCUGGACUGGGUGCUCUGUGUGAGGUGAAACAGAAAUGCUUUCUUAGCUCUACAACUGUGUUGAAAUGGGGAAAUGAAAAAACCCACAGAGAAAAGCACUGUGAGGCAGGCCUGUGGUGUGGAGGUGAAAGCAGCUGUCUCUGGUUGAAAUGGUUAUGGGUUUGAAUCCAGUGCAGGCCAAGAGCACGAUUGGGCCAAGGACAGUGUAAAGCUUGGGAAAGGUUAGUGCAGGGUUGAGGCAAACAGGAAAAGAGUGCAGGGAUAGGAUACCUAAAGAAACCACCAGAAGGAAAUCUAAUAUUUCCUCCCCUGAGAAGGGUAGGAAUUAUACAAUAAUAGAAGAUUUGGGUCAAAUCCCAGCUGGUUAAAACUUGUUAAAAUAUAAUUCAACUCUGCUGCUUAAAGGGGAACAUAUAAACAACAAAUGCAAGAAAAGGCGAACCACAAAAAACAGUUGAAAGAGCCUGUUCGCGCCUGCAACAAUAGUUCUGAGCCACUACGGGUCCCAAAAGGUCAAAAGUAAAGCCCCUUUUAGCACAGUCUAUAUGUUAAAUCAUUGAAGUAGCUCCGUAUAAAACUGGUUUUAACCCCUCAAAACCUAAUGCACCCUUGAGGUAAAUGAAGUUGUGAAUGAUAGGGAAACAAAAUGAUAUAUGAGGACAAAGCAGAAUGACACGAUCAGCCCAAAGUAGAGCAUCAGUGUGGUACAGAAAUAAAUGAACAUAGUUAAAAAUAACUUCAACAUUUUGCUCUAAUAACACACAUGUACUGCUUUCUAAAAAACAAAACAAGUCAUCAAACAAAGGCGAGAUAAAGUCAUGUUAAAAUUCACUUCAAGACACUGUACUGCAGACCAAAGGAUCUAAAGUUACUUUAGAUUUAUACAGAUUAUGAAUGUUAAUGAAGUUUUUUUUUCAAUAGAAUAAGCUUCAAGUGUUGCUGUUUCAAUAUAUGUACUUAUCUAUUUAGAUCUAUUUAUUCUCAGUUCUUCCAUAUUCAUUGUAUUUGCAUCAACUGUGGGCUUAUUAUCUUGUUUUUUCAGAUUUAUCGGAUCAAACCACACCCAGUCUCAACGAGACAGUAAGUUUUCAAGUGUCUUAAUAUACCAAGGGAUGUUUCUUUGUACUUUCAACUUUGAAUUUAUUCUGAUUUAGUCAUGAAUAUUUCAUGUUAUGUUUAAUACCACUUGUACUAGAAAUACUUCAAAAGUUUUUAAGAAGUUUAACAUAAACUUGUGUCUACUUUUUUAUCUUGGGGGAUACAACAUGAAAGACCAGAGGGGAUGGGGUAUUGAAUACUUUUUUUGGCUUCAUAUAUGAUUGUUCCUCUUUUGUGCUCAUUGUAAUGUCUCUGAUGUAUUCCCACUGCAUUUCUUUGUUUUUGUUAUUGAUGAAGACUUUAAAUAUAGAAAAAUAAGUCCCUCAAACAAAAGAUUUAGCAUGUAAAUGCACCAAAAACAGGGUCAGAACUCCAAAACAAACACUUCUUGCUUAUUGUACCUACAAUGUAGACUAUAUUAUUAUUAAAACAGUGGCUGUGUCAUGUGUGGGUACUCACUUUAAAAUGCUAUUAAUAUUCCAAGCUAAUGUGGCGUUAAGCGCUGCCAGAGUUUGUCUGAACCGAUUUAGGGAUCCUGUCUUUUAAAAAAUCGGACAAACCUUUUCUCCUGUCCUUGUCUCUCGUCCUUCAACAGGAGGCAUCAUGUUCACAGCAUGACCUCUGCUUGACUGUUUUUGGGAAGAGCACGACAUCCAUGACAUCUAUCACUCUGCAUGAGCGAAAGACACUAAAACUGUGCAACUGGUUCUCCUUGUUGACACAUGGAUGGGGUUUUUAUAUGGACCACAAUAAACGGAGUACAUCUAUGAAUUCAACAUGCAAUUUAAAGUUUUACAGAUUCAGAAACCUGUGCUCUGAUCCAUAUAUAGCUGUAAGAAAACAAGAUGAUAGGUGGAUAUGGAGGUUACAAUCUGGAAACUUUAAAAGAAAUUGCACUGCAAGUAUCGCUUUCUUAAACUUCUACUACUUUCAAGUAGAAUUGGGCUUACUUUAAUAAACCAAACAAGGAGAAGGGUGAAGAUGGGAUAUCCUGUUCUGUAUGAGCAGCACCCUUGAGACUUGCAAAAACUGCAGCUCCACAAGUGACCACUUGGAGGCUUGCUCAAAAAGCCAAGGAAUAAAGUACACACUCUGCAGAGAUAGAUUUUUUUUAUAACAAAUCAACUAAGAUAGUGUGAAGGGGAUGUUUUUGCGUAAUGAGGGUCACACCUGGGUUGACACACAGGUGGUCAUGUCAGUGGUUUGUCAGGUGGCUAAAAUUCUGCCUCGGCUCCACCUCUUAGUCAUUUUGUUUAGGUCAAUCUAAAGUUAGGCUCCAAACAUGGCAACUGUCAUUGACGUGAUCCAAAAAACAUCUUUUCAGAGACCAAUGGGUGAUGUCAUGUAGACGACCACUGGUUUGUUUUAUGUAGUCAGUGCCAAAUACCAAAGAAUCCUCAUUGGAGCCCAUUUUAGAAUUACCAUCCUUGACAGCAGAAAUAGAUAUGUUUACAGUCACAUGUAAAAAACAGCUUUAGUCUUGGUUUAUGGUUAUGGUUUUCAUGACAACACUGGCCCGGGUCAUUUUGUUUACUUCGCCUCUUAGUAACACAUUUGUGCUAUUCAACUUUCAACAUUAAAGCCUGGUGUACAAACACUGGAGAAUGUGCAGAAAGUUUAGGCCAGAUUCAGUCCUACUGAGAGAGAAAAUCCACUGAUCCCCAGGAUUAUGUUGGUGUAGGUCGGACUAUAUAAAGUUCGACUGAGUGCUAUUCCAGUCAGACUAAUGUAUUAACAUGUUUUUUAAUGUUGCCAGUAACCAUGGCAAUAAAUCAAUUUUUUAACAACAUGUAAAAGUACUGAUAGUCUAAGGUUCAAAGUUAUGAUUCCUUUUAAACUUCAAGUUCCACAUAGAUGUUUAGUUGUUUAAACUGUAUCUUGUUAUACUGUUAUAGGUUUCUGUUAGUUUGCACAUCCAACAUUGUGACUGGUUACCUGUACCAUUGACUUAUUUCAGUUAGACAUCUGGUUCUCGUGUGUCUACAAGUACUGCCAGUUUGUAUGUUUAUCUUGAAGCUAAAUUUUUUCUGAUGUAAAUCUUUGAUUUCAGAAUCUUCCUGCUCCUCAAACAAAUUCCACUUGAG